GACGAACGCUGGCGGCGUGCUUAACACAUGCAAGUCGAGCGGUAAGGCCCUUUUGGGGGUACACGAGCGGCGAACGGGUGAGUAACACGUGGGUGACCUGCCCUCAGCUCUGGGAUAAGCCUGGGAAACUGGGUCUAAUACUGGAUAUGACCUUUCCUCGCAUGGGGUUGGGUGGAAAGUUUUUCGGCUGGGGAUGGGCCCGCGGCCUAUCAGCUUGUUGGUGGGGUGAUGGCCUACCAAGGCGACGACGGGUAGCCGGCCUGAGAGGGCGACCGGCCACACUGGGACUGAGACACGGCCCAGACUCCUACGGGAGGCAGCAGUGGGGAAUAUUGCGCAAUGGGCGGAAGCCUGACGCAGCGACGCCGCGUGGGGGA
rnacentral:rRNA from 1 species